rnacentral:tRNA from 1 species
GGAUUACGAGAUUCAAGAACAAGCUUCUAACUUAGUUCUUAAGCGAUGAGACUUCGUUUAUAAUCCU